AGCUGACCUUCUUAUGUGCUUCUCUGUCUGCUAAUCUGGACAUUGUCCUCUUCCCCUGAAAGAGCUUUCUACAGGAAAGGGCAUCUCCUUUCUACAAACAUCAGACAGGUAGAUGCAUCAAACAUAAUAUCAGAGGAGCCAGACGGGCAGAUUUUUCUGAUGUCUGACGGAAAUUAUAUCAAUGCAUUUUUCAGACUUCAGUCACCGAUUUGUGAGGGUUCCCCCCCUGCACCUUCUACUAACAACCUUCCAAAUACAAGUAAAUAAUUAUCAAACUCAUUUGUCUCACAAAGCAUUUUUUCAUGACUAUUAAAAUCUAACCCAUUGGCAGAA